AUUGAACGCUAGCGGGAUGCCUUACACAUGCAAGUCGAACGGAUUGGCGAACGGGUGAGUAAUGUAUCGGAACGUGCCCAGUAGCGGGGGAUAACUACGCGAAAGCGUAGCUAAUACCGCAUACUCUUGGAGCGGCCGAUAUCGGAGUAGCUAGUUGGUGGGUGAACGGCUCAGCAAGGCGACGAUCCGUAGCUGGUUUGAGAGGACGACCAGCCACACUGGGACUGAGAACCGGCCACGACUCCUACGUGCGGCAGCAGUGGGGAAUUUUGGACGAUGGGGGAAACCCUGAUCCAGCCAUCCCUCGUGUGCGAUGAAGGCCUUCGGGUUGUAAAGCACUUGUGGCAGGAAGGCGAUACCUGCAGAAUAAGCACCGGCUAACUACGUGCCAGCAGCCGCGGUAAUUC
rnacentral:rRNA from 1 species